rnacentral:rRNA from 1 species
UACGUAGGUGACAAGCGUUGUUCGGAAUUACUGGGCGUAAAGAGUGUGUAGGCGGUGCUCUAAGUUCGGUGUGAAAUCUCCCGGCUUAACUGGGAGGGUGCGCCGGAAACUGGAGUGCUCGAGCGUGGGAGAGGAAAGCGGAAUUCCUGGUGUAGCGGUGAAAUGCGUAGAUAUCAGGAGGAACACCUGCGGUGUAGACGGCUUUCUGGACCAUUGCUGACGCUGAGACACGAAAGCGUGGGUAGCAAACAGG